GUUACACGCAUUCUCAAUUUGGUGCUCUACCAGUUACCAUAUCUGUAUUCUAAUACUUUAGGUUAAAUUACCAACUGUUCUAGCACAAAAGGCUGUUUUUGGGGUAGCACGUUAAGAUAAGGUAAUGGGGUAUGCUUACAUUUCUUUGCCAUACACCUGACGGACCAAAAUGCCUAAAGGCACUAUCUAUGGAUGAUUCCUCCGAUUUCUACAGGCACCGACCUUGGGUUCCCGCGAGAUCUCGUAAUGAUGGAGAAGGAGCUGGGACGAGGUGUGUUCGGGAGGCUGUUCUUGGCCACAGCCCAUGGGAUCGAUGAAGCAGGGAAAGACACGAAGGUCGUCGUCAAGACUGUCAUAGGUUGUGCAAGGACAGAUGAGGACACAGGGGGCAGGCUUCACGUUCUCGCAGAGCUGGAUCUGAUGAAAGAAAUUUGUUCGCAUCCAAAUGUCAUCAGACUACUUGGCUUUUGUGUGGAGACGGAUCCCGUUUACAUCAUUGUUGAGCACUGUGCUAAGGGGGAUUUGAGGAGCGUUCUACUGCAGUACCGAGACACGGAGCUCGGUAAAGCCUACUGCAGGCCCGGGUCCGAGCCUGAAUCGAGCGGACCGCUGUCUCGGACCUUAGUCGGAUUUGCGAGGGACGUGGCAAAUGGUAUGGCCUUUUUAUCCUCAAAAAAGUAUGUACUUUGUGACCUGACUUCAAGUAAAGUGCUGGUGGGCGAUGACUACUCGUGUAAGUUGGCCGACUUCAGAAGGGUGAAAGGAGUCACAGCUGUCUACGCAGAUUUAUGUGAAACGAACUUAAAGGUAGCGUGCACAUCCUUACAAAACUGUCGUGCAUUUUCUUUAGAUAAACGCUGCCUCACUAUUCAGCAUCCAAACUAUAUCCCUAAAUGUCUGCUGAGUUGUUGAGUUAUCUUUCUCUCAGAUGAGUUGGUCACUUUCUUGAAAACACGGUCCUAAAAAACUAAUUGUGCGUUGCAACAACGCCUCCCCCAAAUAAGGAGGAAAUGAAGAAUGUUCUGAAGUCCUCUUCUUUACGAAUGAUCUUGGGGGCCAACUUUGAAGACAGAUGGGGUUGAUGAAGUCAUUAUAAAUAUAUCCACGCUUCACUGAAAACAUAACUGUUUUCAACAGUCUCGCCCACCGUUUCGAUGGCUGGCACCCGAGUCAUAUGAAUAUGGCAUUUUUUCUACGGCAAGUGACGUGUGGUCUUUUGGGGUAGUACUCUGGGAGAUCCUUACACUGGGGAAAAAACCCUACUCCGAGCUGGGGAUGAGCGGUAUGCCUAUAGAAGACCGCAUUGCGACAGGCUAUCGCUUGCCCAAGCCCCGGAACUGUGGCCAAACGACGUACGCCAUGAUGCUUAGCUGUUGGAAAAAACAAGCCUCAGGAUCGACCUGAUUUCCAACAUCUCCUUCAGCAACUCGAUGGGAUGCUCUCGAGACAGACUGAACACUCUCCACACUGAAAACAAAAAUCGUGGGUUACAUUUCAAUCCAUAGGAGGUUGGAAGCUGCCACUCUCCAAAGGUGGUGAAAUAAUCCAAUUUAGGGGAAAAGAUUUUCAGACUCAGUUUUACCAAUAAAAAUGAGUUUUCAUAAUUAAAGCCUGGAUAAGUUUUACAUUUGUUAGCAGUGAUCAAAAAUGUAUACUUUUCUAGUUAAAAUGUAGAAUAGACGAUAUUACGUAUUUAUGUGCCCAUAUCUCGCUGGACUAUGGAGUUUUGACCUUUUAUGGAGAGAUAUUAGACGCUAGAAUGCUUAACAUGGAAAAAUUGAAAAUCCUAUGACCGUUUGAUGACCUCAAUACUUUGUCUUUCAAAUGUUAACCGCGAAUGUCAAGAUGUGUAAUGGAAUUUCAUUUAUAAGAUGUAGUGCCUGGUAUUGAUAGAUGGUUAACAUCAAUCAAGUUUUGGCAUCAUCGUGUGUGGUUAGUGGAGUCAUUGGUUCAGUACUGUUCUCUGUUUUGCCAUAAAAAUGUGGUUGAUUCCUGAAUAAAGCAUAAAUAUUGAAUAUGUUAUUGUGAUAAAUUACCGAAAGCUAAACAUUAACGGAGUAGCCGGGACACGGAUAACAACAUUGCUCCGUGAAAAGAACAGUCUUGGAUUUGUAGCGCGCAAACACAAUUCGUGGAAAGCACACCCUUAAGAAACGUUAUGCCACUAGUAAACACUUGUUGGCACUCCAGGGUCUGAAGCCCCUUGCUCAAUUUUCUUAGCUCUAUCAGCCUUUGAAUACUGUAAAAGGGUGUGUUAAAUUAGGAGAUGACGAUCGACAUUGAUCAAUACUGACUUUGAUAAAUGCUGACUUUGAAAAUUGCCCUGAUGUAUUGCUUUAAUUUCCACCCUCACGUUUCCAACUGAUCACUUAUUUGUCCCUCUCUGAACCGGAAUUAAACUAUAACUUUGCCUUAUAUGCAAAGAGAACCAGCAGCUUCAGAGAUGCAUUGAACAAAAUUUACACGAAUACCUAUUCCCGACAGCCAAUUAUAUUGCCCUUGUGCAAAUAGUUGGGUAAGUUACCGCAACCCUUAAUUUGGAUAUAGUUGAGAAAAAUAUCGAAACUGCAUUUUGUUUCCAACUAUUUAACACACACGUGCAUGCACACCCAGGCUAGGAGUGAGGGUAAUUGGCAAACAAUAACUUUUCAGCUGUUCCUAUAACUUUUUCAAACCAGCUAAAUCGACCUAUAUUGUACAUGCAGUUGUAAGGACUUGGGCUCUUGCAUUGGGAAACUCUUUGGCUCCGUGAACUGAGGUGACAUUAAGCUGGAUUCUGAGAGAUCUGCGGGUACACGUCUGUAUGCUUUUUGUAUUAAGCCUAAAGCCCGCUUAAAAGUAGUCAACACCCUUUUUUGGCAUAAUUUUACAAGAUUGGCUGAUUGAAGUGUAUAAUAUUCACUGCAACUGACGUUCUUCUGACUUCUCUCAUGAUUUAGUCGGUUUGAAUUGUAAUUGAUUGCCUUGUAAUGACGCUCUCUUCACCAAAUUGAAUGCAGUAGAAGCAAAUGUAUCCGCUUGUAUGUCGUUGUUCGGAGUUGGCACGUUUUCUGGAAAAUUGGUGUUUCAUCAAGAUCGGCAUAAAAGACACAUGAUGGGCUCUUGAC